GCUGGGUGGAUUAGUGGCGAACGGGUGAGUAACACGUGAGUAACCUGCCCUUAACUCUGGGAUAAGCCUGGGAAACUGGGUCUAAUACCGGAUAGGAGCGCCUACCGCAUGGUGGGUGUUGGAAAGAUUUAUCGGUUUUGGAUGGACUCGCGGCCUAUCAGCUUGUUGGUGAGGUAAUGGCUCACCAAGGCGACGACGGGUAGCCGGCCUGAGAGGGUGACCGGCCACACUGGGACUGAGACACGGCCCAGACUCCUACGGGAGGCAGCAGUGGGGAAUAUUGCACAAUGGGCGAAAGCCUGAUGCAGCGACGCCGCGUGAGGGAUGACGGCCUUCGGGUUGUAAACCUCUUUCAGUAGGGAAGAAGCGAAAGUGACGGUACCUGCAGAAGAAGCACCGGCUAACUACGUGCCAGCAGCCGCGGUAAUACGUAGGGUGCGAGCGUUAUCCGGAAUUAUUGGGCGUAAAGAGCUCGUAGGCGGUUUGUCGCGUCUGUCGUGAAAGUCCGGGGCUUAACCCCGGAUCUGCGGUGGGUACGGGCAGACUAGAGU
rnacentral:rRNA from 2 species